GCCGCUGUGGCCAAGUAGUUAAGGCGCCCCACUUGUAAUGGGGAGAUCGCAGGUGCGAAUCCUGUCUGCGGCA